UACAGAGGGUGCAAGCGUUGUUCGGAAUUACUGGGCGUAAGGCGCGUGUAGGUGGCGAUGUAAGUCGGGUGUGAAAUCCCUCAGCUUAACUGAGGAAGUGCACUCGAUACUGUGUCGCUUGAGUGUUGGAGGGGAUGGCGGAAUUCCCGGUGUAGAGGUGAAAUUCGUAGAUAUCUGGAGGAAUACCGGUGGCGAAGGCGGCAUCCUGGACCGGCAUUGACGCUGAGGAGCGAAAGCCAGGGGAGCAAACGGG
rnacentral:rRNA from 1 species